AUGGCUCCACAACACUUCCCUGCUCUGGGAGGCAGGCAGGAGCGAGUGCAGACCCCGGGCAGAGCAAAGGCAGCCCAGAAACAGAAUCACAGAAUCCUUCACCUGGCAACAGGGCACCGAGUCCAGCCUGGACCGUCCCCUCUUUGUCACCAGCCCAGAGCACUGAGCUCAGUCUUUGCUUGGACUCCACCCUGGAGAGCCCCUUCACUGCCUGACCACCUUUUCCAUGAGGGAAUUCUCCUGAGGAUGGGCUGCUGGAGCACUGCUGUCCCAGCCCUGCUGCUGCCAAGGCUCGAGGGCCACGGGACACUUCCCUGGCUGCUGCAGGACCUGCUCCAGCCCCAGUGGGGUGCUCAGCUCCCCUGGCACAGGGAAGAGGCACACAGGGAGUAAUUACCUGUUUUCCCCAUCACUGUUUAAUGACAAGGGAUGAAUGGGCCUCCUGUACAGUUACUGAUAGGUGACUGCAUCAUCUGAUGGAGAGUCACGGCAGAGGCUGCCCAGGUAUUGCAGGACCCAGCGGGAAUUGGGGACACUCACUCCAAAAACCUGCUCUGCCUUGUGACUGUGGCCUCAAGAUCAUCCCCAGCAUUGCCCAGACCAGGGAUGUUGGCUAUAAAAAUGAUUUGUCAUUGAGAAUGUGGAUGUAUAACCUGACAUUACUCUUUAGCUUUAGCAGGAAAUAGAUCUGAGGACAAAUCCUCAAGCCGUGGGGUCCAGUUCUCCUUCCCGUGCCCUGAGGCAGCUCUUACCCGAGUGCAGCUCCUUCACCAGGGAGGACAUGGUGUUGGUGAUGGAAUCAGCUGCCACCAGCAGGUCAUUGCGGAGGUUCCUCCUCGUUCCUGGGCGGGGCAGACACACCGGAGUCAGGAAGGGCAGCCCUGCCAGCUCUGUGUGUGCCCCGUGUCCCCCAGCUCAGCCUCGCUGUGCCCACCCGGGAUGGCACCUGGGCACUCCUGCUGCCACCAGAGCAGGGGACAGGGAGUGACCCUGGCACAGCCCCGGGGCACUGAGAGCCCCCUGGCCCCCGUCCCCAUCGGCAGAGCCGCUCCCAGGGCUGCUGGGGUGGGAUAAAGGCUGCUGGAAUUGUCACCCCCCUGCAGGGCUGGACAAGGGAAUCCCCAGGGCUCUGAGCUGGCCCCUGAACUGCCUGGACACCUCCAUUGAGCCAUGGAUGGGCAGCACCACCAGUGACCACCAACAGCCCCAGCAUGGCCACAGCUGUGCCAGCCCAGCCAGGAGAGCACAGGAAC
rnacentral:lncRNA from 1 species